GACGAACGCUGGCGGCGUGCCUAAUACAUGCAAGUCGAGCGAGACUCUUCGGAGUCUAGCGGCGGACGGGUGAGUAACACGUGGGCAACCUGCCUGUAAGACUGGGAUAACACCGGGAAACCGGUGCUAAUACCGGAUAAUCCUUUUCUUCUCAUGAGGAAAAGCUGAAAGUCGGUUUCGGCUGACACUUACAGAUGGGCCCGCGGCGCAUUAGCUAGUUGGUGAGGUAACGGCUCACCAAGGCGACGAUGCGUAGCCGACCUGAGAGGGUGAUCGGCCACACUGGGACUGAGACACGGCCCAGACUCCUACGGGAGGCAGCAGUAGGGAAUCUUCCACAAUGGACGAAAGUCUGAUGGAGCAACGCCGCGUGAGCGAUGAAGGCCUUCGGGUCGUAAGGCUCUGUUGUUAGGGAAGAACAAGUACCGGAGUAACUGCCGGUACCUUGACGGUACCUAACCAGAAAGCCACGGCUAACUACGUGCCAGCCGCCGCCGUAACAC
rnacentral:rRNA from 1 species